UACGUAGGGUGCGAGCGUUGCCCGGAUUUAUUGGGCGUAAAGGGCGCGUAGGCGGCUCUGCACGUCCGUUGUGAAAUCGCCCGGCUCAACUGGGCGGGGUCAGCGGAUACGGCGGAGCUUGAGCAAGCUAGGGGGCAAUGGAAUUCCCGGUGUAGUGGUGGAAUGCGUAGAUAUCGGGAGGAACACCAGUGGCGAAGGCGGCACCCUGGACCAGCACUGACACUGAGGCACGAAAGCGUGGGGAGCAAACAGG
rnacentral:rRNA from 1 species